GCGAGCAGGCGCGUGUGACGUCGGGAGGCGCCGCGGCUCCACGGCCGCCCUACUCUGUGGUCCCCGGUCUGGACCCAAACUGCUGACUGGCUGACCCGAGUGGUCACAUUUGCCCUCUGGGGCUUUUGAAAACCUUAAAUCAAAAUUGCUUUUGAAUCUGACAACUCCUGAGGCUACUUUCGCGGCCUCGGGGCUGUUUCAUAUAAGGACGCGAAUUUUCCCGAUCAGGUCGGUCGGCCACGUUACGAUUUCCAAUUUGCGAUCCAUCAGUUACUUCCAUUGGGUCUUCGGCCCCCAGGGACUGUGGAUCGUAGACCCCGCGGAGAAGCCCGUGGACUGGAGCUGUGUCAGCUCUGAUG
rnacentral:antisense_RNA from 1 species